rnacentral:rRNA from 1 species
GAUGAACGCUGGCGGCGUGCCUAAUACAUGCAAGUCGAGCGAACGGACGAGAAGCUUGCUUCUCUGAUGUUAGCGGCGGACGGGUGAGUAACACGUGGAUAACCUACCUAUAAGACUGGGAUAACUUCGGGAAACCGGAGCUAAUACCGGAUAAUAUUUUGAACCGCAUGGUUCAAAAGUGAAAGACGGUCUUGCUGUCACUUAUAGAUGGAUCCGCGCUGCAUUAGCUAGUUGGUAAGGUAACGGCUUACCAAGGCAACGAUGCAUAGCCGACCUGAGAGGGUGAUCGGCCACACUGGAACUGAGACACGGUCCAGACUCCUACGGGAGGCAGCAGUAGGGAAGCUUCCGCAAUGGGCGAAAGCCUGACGGAGCAACGCCGCGUGAGUGAUGAAGGUCUUAGGAUCGUAAAACUCUGUUAUUAGGGAAGAACAUAUGUGUAAGUAACUGUGCACAUCUUGACGGUACCUAAUCAGAAAGCCACGGCUAACUACGUG